rnacentral:rRNA from 1 species
AUUGAACGCUGGCGGCAUGCCUUACACAUGCAAGUCGAACGGCAGCACGGGGCAACCUGGUGGCGAGUGGCGAACGGGUGAGUAAUGCAUCGGAACGUACCUUUCAGUGGGGGAUAACGUAGCGAAAGUUACGCUAAUACCGCAUAUUCUGUGAGCAGGAAAGCAGGGGAUCGCAAGACCUUGCGCUGAUUGAGCGGCCGAUGUCAGAUUAGCUAGUUGGUGAGGUAGAGGCUAACCAAGGCGACGAUCUGUAGCGGGUCUGAGAGGAUGAUCCGCCACACUGGAACUGAGACACGGUCCAGACUCCUACGGGAGGCAGCAGUGGGGAAUUUUGGACAAUGGGGGCAACCCUGAUCCAGCCAUGCCGCGUGAGUGAAGAGGGCCUUCGGGUUGUAAAGCUCUUUCGGCCGGGAAGAAAUCGCACGGGCUAAUACCCUGUGUGGAUGACGGUACCGGAAUAAGAAGCACCGGCUAACUACGUGCCAGCAGCCGCCGUAAUAC